UACGUAGGGGCUAGCGUUGUCCGGAUUUAUUGGCGUAAAGAGCGUGUAGGCGGCCAGGUAGGUCUGCUGUGAAACUCGAGGCUUAACCUCGAGACGUCGGCGAAACCAUCUGGCUAGAGUCCGGAAGAGGAGAGUGGAAGUUCCUGGAUGUAGCGGUGGAAAUGCGCAGAUAUCAGGAAGAACACCCGUGGCGAAGGCGGCCUCUCGUGG
rnacentral:rRNA from 1 species